rnacentral:rRNA from 1 species
AGCUCCAAUAGCGUAUAUUAAAGUUGUUGCGUCAAAAAAGCUCGUAGUUGGAUUUCUACCGAAAACGGGCCGUCCCUUCUAUGAAGGUCAUGUGCUUCGGUUUUGGUAUCCUCUCGAUAGGCGUUGCCGCGCUUCAUUGCGUGGUGCGGAUUUCGAGACUUUUACUUUGAGGAAAUUAGAGUGUUCACGGCAGGCAAUCGCCCUGAAUAUGUUAGCAUGGAAUAAUAAUAUAGGACCUUGGUUCUAUUUUGUUGGUUUCUAGAGCUAAGGUAAUGAUUAAUAGGGACAAUUGGGGGCAUUACUAUCAAUGCGUCAGAGGUGGAAUUCUUGGAUUGCAUUGCGAGUAACUACUGCGAAAGCAUUUGCCAAGGAUGUUUUCAUUGAUCAAGAACGAAAGUAG